UGGGGAAUAUUGCGCAAUGGGGGAAACCCUGACGCAGCAACGCCGCGUGAAGGAUGAAGGUUUUCGGAUCGUAAACUUCUUUGAUGAGGGACGAACAAAAUGACGGUACCUCAAAAACAAGCCACGGCUAACUACGUGCCAGCAGCCGCGGUAAUACGUAGGUGGCGAGCGUUGUCCGGAAUUACUGGGUGUAAAGGGCGUGUAGGCGGGGAUGUAAGUCAGAUGUGAAAUCCCAUGGCUCAACUGUGGGGCUGCAUCUGAAACUAUGUCUCUUGAGUGCCGGAGAGGGAAGCGGAAUUCCUAGUGUAGCGGUGAAAUGCGUAGAUAUUGGGAGGAACACCAGUGGCGAAGGCGACUUUCUGGACGAUGUCUGACGCUGAGGCGCGAAAGCCAGGGAAGUGAACG
rnacentral:rRNA from 1 species